UACGAAGGGGGCUAGCGUUGCUCGGAAUCACUUGGGCGUAAAGCGCACGUAGGCGGAUUGCUAAGUCAGGGGUGAAAUCCUGGAGCUCAACUCCAGAACUGCCUUUGAUACUGAGGAUCUUGAGUUCGGGAGAGGUGAGUGGAACUGCGAGUGUAGAGGUGAAAUUCGUAGAUAUUCGCAAGAACACCAGUGGCGAAGGCGGCUCACUGGCCCGGUACUGACGCUGAGGUGCGAAAGCGUGGGGAGCAAACAGG
rnacentral:rRNA from 1 species